rnacentral:rRNA from 1 species
AAGACCUUGCGCUUUUGGAGCGGCCGAUGCCUGAUUAGCUUGUUGGUAAGGUAAAAGCUUACCAAGGCUUCGAUCAGUAGCUGGUCUGAGAGGACGACCAGCCACACUGGGACUGAGACACGGCCCAGACUCCUACGGGAGGCAGCAGUGGGGAAUUUUGGACAAUGGGGGCAACCCUGAUCCAGCCAUGCCGCGUGAGUGAAGAAGGCCUUCGGGUUGUAAAGCUCUUUCAGCCGGAACGAAACGGUUACGGAUAACACCCGUGAYUACUGACGGUACCGGAAGAAGAAGCACCGGCUAACUACGUGCCAGCAGCCGCGGUAAUACGUAGGGUGCGAGCGUUAAUCGGAAUUACUGGGCGUAAAGCGUGCGCAGGUGGUUUUGUAAGUCAGAUGUGAAAGCCCCGGGCUCAACCUGGGAACU